rnacentral:lncRNA from 1 species
UUUUUUUGAAUUUCCAUUUUUCUGAUUUUAUUUUCUUUAUUUCCUUUUAUUUCAGAAAUCCAUAUCUCUUUUAUUAUUGGUCCAAAAAUUAUGGGACCAAUUGCAUUCUUCUCCAAAUAAUUUCUAGUUUCUAAUUCUGAUUUUUAAUAUUUUUUAUUUUGUCAUUUGAUAUUUUUUGUGAAUUUUCUCUUUUCUGGUUAUUUUUAAUUCAUUUUAAAUAGUUUUUGAUAUUCAAA